GCACUACUGAGGAUCCCAUAAUAGGACGAAACGGCCGUCCAGUGC
rnacentral:hammerhead_ribozyme from 1 species